CAGUAGCCACGGUAAAACGAAGGGUGCAAGCGUUAAUCGGAAUUACUGGGCGUAAAGCGUGCGCAGGCGGUUUGUUAAGACAGAUGUGAAAUCCCCGGGCUCAACCUGGGAACUGCAUUUGUGACUGGCAAGCUAGAGUGUGGCAGAGGGGGGUGGAAUUCCGCGUGUAGCAGUGAAAUGCGUAGAUAUGCGGAGGAACACCGAUGGCGAAGGCAGCCCCCUGGGCCAACACUGACGCUCAUGCACGAAAGCGUGGGGAGCAAACAGGAUUAGAUACCCGUGUAGUCCCUGUCUCUUAUAC
rnacentral:rRNA from 1 species